CCCCCCAGCCCCGGCUGAACUAUUCUCAGCCACCCGCCUCGGCGGCUACCUUCUUCGCGUGUCGGUUGUUCCUCUGGGCGCCCCUGCACAUGUGGGGUCCCCGGCCGACAUGCUGCGAGAAGCAUCUCACCAAGUGUGGGAUGUACAAGACCAUCCGGAAGGUCUUGGACAUCGACGGCUGGUACUUGAUGGCCACCGAGUACCUGGAGUGCCGUCGGUGUCGGAGGAAGGUAGCCGCCUGGUCGCGAGGCAGCUGGGAGAGGGGCAUCGCGCCCUCUUCCCGGCGAUCCUCACCUACAAGCUUGCCUGCGACCGGCGGGUCAUCAUCCAGCUGCGUGAGCGUACUGGGGGAACAGCGCCACGCAGCUGCAAAAACUCUGUGAGGCACACACAGAGGCCUGGAUGCGGCGGUCCAUACACUACCUCAGCGUCAUGGAGCCCUUCACGUCGACGGGUGUCGUGCGCCAGUGCACCCCACCGCCGAAACCAUCGCCAGACGUGCCGCAGUACGGCUGGCUGUUGGUGGUGUACUGCCACGACAUCCUGUCUCUCCUGGAGGACGUGAAGGCCCGGGUCACCUCAGUCUUCGGAUCCAUCCUAAAGAUGGAUUCGACCAAGAAGGUGACCCGGAAGCUCGCCGGUGCCGCCGCCCAUACCGCAGCCUGGGCGACCAACGUGGGCAACGAGCACGGGCAGGUGCUAAUGUCCGUGCUCACGGCCACCGAGGGGGGUGGCCUGUUGCCCAUGGCUGCGGGGUUAAUGAGGCGGUACCGGGACGCUGGGGUAGCGCAGCCUCGCGUCCUCUAUGUCGACCGGGACUGCUGUUCGUCCCACGGGG
ensembl:lncRNA